GAUGAACGCUGGCGGCGUGCCUAAUACAUGCGAGUCGAGCGAACAGACGAGGAGCUUGCUCCUCUGACGUUAGCGGCGGACGGGUGAGUAACACGUGUAUAACCUACCUAUAAGACUGGGAUAACUUCGGGAAACCGGAGCUAAUACCGGAUAAUAUAUUGAACCGCAUGGUUCAAUAGUGAAAGACGGUUUUGCUGUCACUUAUAGAUGGAUCCGCGCCGCAUUAGCUAGUUGGUAAGGUAACGGCUUACCAAGGCAACGAUGCGUAGCCGACCUGAGAGGGGGAUAGGCCACACGGGAACUGAGACACGGUCCAGACUCCUACGGGAGGCAGCAGUAGGGAAUCUUCCGCAAUGGGCGAAAGCCUGACGGAGCAACGCCGCGUGAGUGAUGAAGGUCUUCGGAUCGUAAAACUCUGUUAUUAGUGAAGAACAAAUGUGUAAGUAACUAUGCACGUCUUGACGGUACCUAAUCAGAAAGCCACGGCUAACUACGUG
rnacentral:rRNA from 1 species